rnacentral:rRNA from 1 species
GAUGAACGCUGGCGGCGUGCCUAAUACAUGCAAGUCGAGCGAACAGAUGAGGAGCUUGCUCCUCUGACGUUAGCGGCGGACGGGUGAGUAACACGUGGAUAACCUACCUAUAAGACUGGGAUAACUUCGGGAAACCGGCGCUAAUACCGGAUAAUAUAUUGAACCGCAUGGUUCAAUAGUGAAAGACGGUUUUGCUGUCACUUAUAGAUGGAUCCGCGCCGCAUUAGCUAGUUGGUAAGGUAACGGCUUACCAAGGCAACGAUGCGUAGCCGACCUGCGAGGGUGAUCGGCCACACUGGAGCUGAGACACGGUCCAGACUCCUACGGGAGGCAGCAGUAGGGAAUCUUCCGCAGUGGGCGAAAGCCUGACGGAGCAACGCCGCGUGAGUGAUGAAGGUCUUCGGAUCGUAAAACUCUGUUAUUAGGGAAGAACAAAUGUGUAAGUAACUAUGCACGUCUUGACGGUACCUAAUCAGAAAGCCACGGCUAACUACGUG